rnacentral:rRNA from 1 species
GACGAACGCUGGCGGCGUGCUUAACACAUGCAAGUCGAACGGAAAGGCCCUGCUUUUGUGGGGUGCUCGAGUGGCGAACGGGUGAGUAACACGUGAGUAACCUGCCCUUGACUUUGGGAUAACUUCAGGAAACUGGGGCUAAUACCGGAUAGGAGCUCCUGCUGCAUGGUGGGGGUUGGAAAGUUUUGGCGGUUGGGGAUGGACUCGCGGCUUAUCAGCUUGUUGGUGGGGUAGUGGCUUACCAAGGCUUUGACGGGUAGCCGGCCUGAGAGGGUGACCGGCCACAUUGGGCCUGAGGUACGGCCCAGACUCCUACGGGAGGCAGCAGUGGGGAAUAUUGCACAGUGGGCGGAAGCCUGAUGCAGCAACGCCGCGUGCGGGAUGACGGCCUUCGGGUUGUGAACCGCUUUCGCCUGUGACGAAGCGUGAGUGACGGUAAUGGGUAAAGAAGCACCGGCUAACUACGUG